GACGAACGCUGGCGGCGUGCUUAACACAUGCAAGUCGAACGGAAAGGCCCUGCUUUUGUGGGGUGCUCGAGUGGCGAACGGGUGAGUAACACGUGAGUAACCUGCCCUUGACUUUGGGAUAACUUCAGGAAACUGGGGCUAAUACCGGAUAGGAGCUCCUGCUGCAUGGUGGGGGUUGGAAAGUUUCGGCGGUUGGGGAUGGACUCGCGGCUUAUCAGCUUGUUGGUGGGGUAGUGGCUUACCAAGGCUUUGACGGGUAGCCGGCCUGAGAGGGUGACCGGCCACAUUGGGACUGAGAUACGGCCCAGACUCCUACGGGAGGCAGCAGUGGGGAAUAUUGCACAAUGGACGGAAGCCUGAUGCAGCAACGCCGCGUGCGGGAUGACGGCCUUCGGGUUGUAAACCGCUUUCGCCUGUGACGAAGCGUGUGUGACGGUAAUGGGUAAAGAAGCACCGGCUAACUACGUG
rnacentral:rRNA from 1 species